GUUACUUGGUCAUGUGAGGGCAUUUGAUCGGCAUUGCAACAUGGUUCUUGAGAAUGUUAGGGAGAUGUGGACUGAGAUACCAAAGACUGGUAAAGGCAAGAAGAAGGCUCUUCCGGUGAACAAAGACAGGUUCAUAAGCAAGAUGUUCCUCCGUGGGGAUUCAGUCAUCAUUGUUCUCAGGGACCUGGAAUGAGUUGGACAACUUUGCUUUGUUCGCUGUCUAGUCUGUAUGCCAAACACUCCAAACAUGGGUGUAUAAGAGACGAUUCUUGGUGGACUGUUUUAGUUGGAUGCUGUGAUGCACCUCUUGUGUUCAGUGGUACUUUUUAUUUGGCUCGAUCAUCAGUAUAUCAAAUUUAGAACUCUACUGUUCCAUUUUU